AACGCUGGCGGCGUGCCUAAUACGUGCAAGUGGGACGCAAGGAAACACACUGUGCUUGCACACCGUGUUUUCUUGAGUCGCGAACGGGUGAGUAACGCGUAGGUAACCUGCCUAUUAGCGGGGGAUAACUAUUGGAAACGAUAGCCAAUACCGCAUAAUAUUAAUUAUUGCAUGAUAAUUGAUUGAAAGAUGCAAGCGCAUCACUAGUAGAUGGACCUGCGUUGUAUUAGCUAGUUGGUAAGGUAAGAGCUUACCAAGGCGACGAUACAUAGCCGACCUGAGAGGGUGAUCGGCCACACUGGGACUGAGACACGGCCCAGACUCCUACGGGAGGCAGCAGUAGGGAAUCUUCGGCAAUGGACGAAAGUCUGACCGAGCAACGCCGCGUGAGUGAAGAAGGUUUUCGGAUCGUAAAGCUCUGUUGUAAGUCAAGAACGUGUGUGAGAGUGGA
rnacentral:rRNA from 1 species